CCUCACUACAAUCAUAGUCUCUCAUGUUGUAGUCACAAUAAUCUCCGGCUAUCGAAGACAUGUUCCCCUUAUACUACCUUUUAAACCUACAAAAUGAACAAACAAGAUUAGUAGUAAAAGCUCCUCACCAACACUCGUAUUCACUCACUUUUGUGAUCCUCACAAUUUGGAGCGGCGAAUAUUGAAAGUUGCUUAUACUCCGGUAGUCAAUAAGAUGUCAAUUCUACUUGGCGGCCGGAAUAGAUUCUUGUUUGAUCGACUCAAGACACAAAACAAAAUCUACUUAUGAACUUGAAAUAAAGAGGUUACGACGAGUUAAAAAUAAGAAAAGCACAUAAAUAACGAAGACAUG
rnacentral:lncRNA from 1 species